UUUCACUUAUGACUAUGUUUAUGGUAGUACGAGAUCUCGGUCGUCUGCAAUAUACGAUGAUUGGGUAGCUCCACUUGUAGAUGGGCUUUUCAAUGGCUACAAUGCAACCGUUCUUGGAACAAAAUGUAUGAUGGCUUCUUCUUAGGAUAAAUCCUCUGAUGUUCGCAAGGCAGCAGAGGCUUGCAUUAAUGAAAUACUUAGAGUUAGUGGACAUGACAUGAGUCCUUUGAGUCAGCUAGAACAGUUUCAGUGAAUGCAACAUCAAAAUCAAAGGUUGGGAAAUCAACUGCCAAUGGUGUUUCAAAACAUGGAAAUAGAGCUGUAUGUUCGAGAGAUGUGGCAAUAAAGGGCGUCAAGUCUGAAUUAAUAUCUGUUCAUGAUAUAGCGGUCCAGUCUCA